rnacentral:rRNA from 1 species
UUGAAGAGUUUGAUCAUGGCUCAGAUUGAACGCUGGCGGCAGGCCUAACACAUGCAAGUCGAGCGGUAGCACAGAGAGCUUGCUCUCGGGUGACGAGCGGCGGACGGGUGAGUAAUGUCUGGGAAACUGCCUGAUGGAGGGGGAUAACUACUGGAAACGGUAGCUAAUACCGCAUAAUGUCGCAAGACCAAAGUGGGGGACCUUCGGGCCUCAUGCCAUCAGAUGUGCCCAGAUGGGAUUAGCUGGUAGGUGGGGUAACGGCUCACCUAGGCGACGAUCCCUAGCUGGUCUGAGAGGAUGACCAGCCACACUGGAACUGAGACACGGUCCAGACUCCUACGGGAGGCAGCAGUGGGGAAUAUUGCACAAUGGGCGCAAGCCUGAUGCAGCCAUGCCGCGUGUGUGAAGAAGGCCUUCGGGUUGUAAAGCACUUUCAGCGGGGAGGAAGGCGGUGAGGUUAAUAACCUCACCGAUUGACGUUACCCGCAGAAGAAGCACCGGCUAACUCCGUGCCAGCAGCCGCGGUAAUACGGAGGGUGCAAGCGUUAAUCGGAAUUACUGGGCGUAAAGCGCACGCAGGCGGUCUGUCAAGUCGGAUGUGAAAUCCCCGGGCUCAACCUGGGAACUGCAUUCGAAACUGGCAGGCUAGAGUCUUGUAGAGGGGGGUAGAAUUCCAGGUGUAGCGGUGAAAUGCGUAGAGAUCUGGAGGAAUACCGGUGGCGAAGGCGGCCCCCUGGACAAAGACUGACGCUCAGGUGCGAAAGCGUGGGGAGCAAACAGGAUUAGAUACCCUGGUAGUCCACGCUGUAAACGAUGUCGAUUUGGAGGUUGUGCCCUUGAGGCGUGGCUUCCGGAGCUAACGCGUUAAAUCGACCGCCUGGGGAGUACGGCCGCAAGGUUAAAACUCAAAUGAAUUGACGGGGGCCCGCACAAGCGGUGGAGCAUGUGGUUUAAUUCGAUGCAACGCGAAGAACCUUACCUGGUCUUGACAUCCACAGAACUUUCCAGAGAUGGAUUGGUGCCUUCGGGAACUGUGAGACAGGUGCUGCAUGGCUGUCGUCAGCUCGUGUUGUGAAAUGUUGGGUUAAGUCCCGCAACGAGCGCAACCCUUAUCCUUUGUUGCCAGCGGUUAGGCCGGGAACUCAAAGGAGACUGCCAGUGAUAAACUGGAGGAAGGUGGGGAUGACGUCAAGUCAUCAUGGCCCUUACGACCAGGGCUACACACGUGCUACAAUGGCAUAUACAAAGAGAAGCGACCUCGCGAGAGCAAGCGGACCUCAUAAAGUAUGUCGUAGUCCGGAUUGGAGUCUGCAACUCGACUCCAUGAAGUCGGAAUCGCUAGUAAUCGUAGAUCAGAAUGCUACGGUGAAUACGUUCCCGGGCCUUGUACACACCGCCCGUCACACCAUGGGAGUGGGUUGCAAAAGAAGUAGGUAGCUUAACCUUCGGGAGGGCGCUUACCACUUUGUGAUUCAUGACUGGGGUGAAGUCGUAACAAGGUAACCGUAGGGGAACCUGCGGUUGGAUCACCUCCUU